rnacentral:rRNA from 1 species
UUACUACCGUGUUAUUUUAUGUCUCUCCUAUUUUAGCUGAAGGCAAGGAAACCGAACGAGGGAUUGCCCCAGUAACUGCGAGUGAAGCGGCAGCAGGCCCGGAUUUGAAAUCUGGCCUUCUGUAGGAGGUCUGAGUUGUAAUCUGUAGAGGAUGUCGUUGGCCGACAGCUGGUUCGACGUCCGCGUGGAAUGUGGUGCCAUAGAGGGUGAGAGCCCCGUGCGAUAGAGGCUGGACGGUCAUGAUACGGCUCCUUCGGCGAGUCGAGUAGUUUGGGAAUGCUGCUCUAAAUCGGAGAUAAAUUCGUUAUAAGGCUAAAUAUCGGCCGGAGACCGAUAGCGCACACGUAGAGUGAUCGAAAGAUGAAAAGUACUUUGAAAAGAGGGUUAAACAGUACGUGAAAUUGUUGAAAGGGAAGCGCCCGAGACUAGAGUUGUACCUGACCGAUCGCUCCGCGACCCCGUGUCGUGGAGUUUCCCGGUCAUGGUUUGCAGGCCAACAUCGGUUUGUGCUGGGGGAUAAGAGUAGUGGGAAAGUAGCCUGUCCUCGGGGGAGUGUUAUAGCCCAGCACCCGGUACCCCCACCCCGACCGAGGAACGCGUCUUCGGACCGGGAAGGGGGGCAAAUGGUCGUUGGGCCCCCCUUCUGAAACCGGGCACCAGGUGUUGAGUUUUUCCGGGGGGUUGUGGGUCGUAGAACCGCCCGCGAAAAAAAAGGAAAGGCAAGGGAGGACCCUUUUUGGGCGCACCAUCGACCGAUCCUGAUGUCUUCGGAUGGAUUUGAGUAGGAGCAUAGCUGCUCGGACCCGAAAGAUGGUGAACUAUGCCUGAAUAGGGUGAAGCCAGAGGAAACUCUGGUGGAGGCUCGCAGCGGUUCUGACGUGCAAAAUCGAUCGUCAAAUGUGGGCAUAGGGGCGAUAAGGAACCUAAUCCGGC